rnacentral:rRNA from 1 species
UACGGGGGGGGGCAAGCGUUGUUCGGAAUUACUGGGCGUAAAGGGCUCGUAGGCGGCCAACUAAGUCAGACGUGAAAUCCCCAGGCUCAACCUGGGAACUGCGUCUGAUACUGGAUGGCUUGAAUCCGGGAGAGGGAUGUGGAAUUCCACGUGUAGCGGUGAAAUGCGUAGAGAUGUGGAGGAACACCAGUGGCGAAGGCGGCUUUCUGGUCAGUAACUGACGCUGAGGCGCGAAAAGCGUGGGGGAGCAAACA